rnacentral:lncRNA from 1 species
GACGGUCAUAUGUUAAGGUUCUUGAAAUGUGGGAUACAGUAUCCACAGAAGAGCGCCAGGUCAUAUUGGAGAGCUUCAAAGGAGAUCCAUCAGCAGUUGAGGUUUACCAGAGGUUGCUAAAUUUUGUGAAAGUAGAGAAAGUUCUGUCAGCUCAAACAGUCCUUACUUUGUUAGAACAGCUAAAAUGUUUAAAUUCUGAGCCGGGAUCAGUUUUGGAGGACCAGGGAAACAAGAGCUGUCCCGAGCCAGAAGUUCCUGCAUCAGGAGUUCGGUGGUCUAGUGGGCUUUUGGCCCAUAUAUCAGAACUAUCUCAUCACCUCUCCAGUGUCAGCAACCUCUCAGAGCUUUUGACCAACGCAG